rnacentral:rRNA from 1 species
GACGAACCGUGCGAACGUUGUUCGGAAUCACUGGGCUUAAAGGGCGCGUAGGCGGUCUGCCAAGUCUGGGGUGAAAUCCUCCGGCUCAACCGUGGAACUGCCUCAGAUACUGGCGGCCUCGAGGGAGGUAGGGGCAUGCGGAACUAUGCGUGGAGCGGUGAAAUGCGUUGAUAUGCAUAGGAACUCCGGUGGCGAAGGCGGCGUGCUGGACCUCUUCUGACGUGAGGCGCGAAAGCCAGGGGAGCAAACGGG